rnacentral:lncRNA from 1 species
UAAUGCAUAUGGGGAAACUGAGGCCCAGGGGGCAACUAUUGCAUCCAGAAAAAAAAAAAAUGAAGAUAAUGACUUCUCUGCAACUAAGAUGAAGAUCCACUGAACUUUGGGGUUUGAAAUGCAACGUUAGAACUUCAGACUCCCGGCACCUAGGUCUCCAGCUGCUGGGUGGUGCCAGCAUCAGAGAUACACUCUGCAAAACAUAUACUGUCUUAGGAAAAAGUGACCCUGUUGUCCUUUCAGGCCCAUAUUCCACAAGAAGACAAAUGGAGAUGUAAAAGGAAAACUGCAGCUCCGACUGAAGAGAGAGCAAGUUGUCUGUUCUGAUACAGCCAGGAAAUAAGAUGUUCUGGUUAAUAUGUGCUAAAGAUGUGGUGCUGACUUUCCGACUCAGAAUAUGAUCACAUGUUUUUCUCAUUAAAACUAUAUUGAAUAUUAUUUGACCAUUGUUGAGUCAGUCAUCUUGAUAAAUAUUAUCUUCGUACAGUCCUGAGCAGAGAGUCAGUGACUAGAAUGCCACUGAAACCAGCUUUUUAUAGGACACGGUUUUCAUGGUUUUAGGGCAUGGAGAAACUU